rnacentral:pre_miRNA from 1 species
AAAGUACUCCCUCCGUCCCAAAAUUCUUGUCUUAGAUUUGUCUAGAUACGGAUGUAUCAAGUCACAUUUUAGUAUUAGAUACAUUCGUAUCUAAACAAAUCUAAGACAAGAAAUUUGGGACAGAGGGAGUAGUUG